GAUGAAGAACGUAGCGAAAUGCGAUAAGUAGUGUGAAUUGCAGAAUUCAGUGAAUCAUCGAAUCUUUGAACGCACAUUGCGCCCCUUCGUAUUCCAUGGGGCAUGCCUGUUCGAGCGUCAUUUGUACCUUCAAGCUCUGCUUGGUGUUGGGUGUUUGUCUCGCCUCUGCGUGUAGACUCGCCUCAAAACAAUUGGCAGCCGGCGUAUUGAUUUCGGAGCGCAGUACAUCUCGCGCUUUGCACUCAUAACGACGACGUCCAAAAGUACAUUUUUACACUCUUGACCUCGGAUCAGGUAGGGAUACCCGCUGAACUUAAGCAUAUCAAUAAGCGGAGGA
rnacentral:misc_RNA from 1 species